AGAAUUAAAUAUCUCCAGAAUAUAUUUAUUUAUUUAUUUUUCUUCACAGUUUCUUCUGGCUGAAAACCUGGUAUUGCCAUACUGUUAACCAAGCCGCAAGGGUGUCUCAGAAAGAGAAACCCAAUCCAAAACACAUUCUUAGAACUGCAUGAAACUGCAUGAAAAAGGAAGACUGAAAUACAUAUGCAGAAGAAGGAAUUGUACCUUUUACACAGCAAUCUAUUGGUUGGAAUAUGAUGGUGUGGUUUUCACAGAAAAGAAGUUUCUUCAGGCAGAAUAUGACAGCUACUAGCUCCUCUGCUUGUUUUUGUCAGGUUUUUCUACAGAAGGACCACUGGGUUAGGCAGCCUUAGCACUGCCAGAUUUAGACUGAAAUGAAUGGGAAUAGUUUUCUACCUCAAAAGAAUCACGUUAAUGAAAGAGCCAUCUACAGUGAAUCAACAGGAAAAGUCACAGGGAAGAAAGAAAAAGGACUCCAUCAGGCAUUUUCAAGCAAGAUCAGCUUACAAGACUGAGAUGAAGAGCACAAUCAAAAACAAAUGUCAUUUGAAGAUAGGUAAAAGCCGAAGAGCUAUCAGGGCAGGAAACACUCUAUCAGAAAGGAACAAAAAUGCAACCAGGGCCACAGCCUUGAAGCUUGUAAGAACUUUACUCUCAUUCUUCAGUUUGGCGCUAAAGCGAAAAGGCCUGUCUAAAUGUUUGAGCAUAGAAAAUCAUUAUUUUCCUACACUCUGGUUAAAAUCACAGUGCGAGCCAGCCAAGCAUGAGCCAGUUCUGACUGAGAUUUUUAGUGGGCCUGACUGAAGGUCCCUCAGGCUUUUUGGUCAGUGCAACAUCCGAAAGAAACACAGAAUAAACCAUUAUGCUUUAUACA
ensembl:lncRNA